rnacentral:rRNA from 1 species
CCUACGGGAGGCAGCAGUGAGGAAUAUUGGUCAAUGGGCGCGAGCCUGAACCCGCCAAGUAGCGUGAAGGAUGACUGCCCUCCGGGUUGUAAACUUCUUUUAUAAAGGAAUCAAGUGAGGCACGUGUGCCUUUUUGUGUGUACUUUAUGAAUAAGGCUCGGCUAACUCCGUGCCAGCAGCCGCGGUAAUACUGCGGAUCCGAGCGUUAUCCGGAUUUAUUGGGUUUAAAGGGAGCGUAGAUGGGUUGUUAAGUCAGUUGUGAAAGUUUUCGGCUCAACCGUAAAAUUGCAAUUGAUACUGGCAGCCUUGAGUACAGUUGAGGUAGGCGGAAUUCGUGGGGUAGCGGUGAAAUGCUUAGAUAUCACGAAGAACUCCGAUUGCGAAGGCAGCUUACUAAACUGCCACUGACAUUGAUGCUCGAAAGUGUGGGUAUCAAACAGGAUUAGAGACCCUUGUAGUC